GCUCCCUGUGCGACACGACAGCCUCUCCCCGCGAUCUGUGUUACACACGGCAGUGUAUCCCAUUGAAGAUGAUCACAAUUGGCUGAUUUUGCUUCUGGGGACAAAACAGCCUCAGGCUGCCACUUGUCACUACUGGCUGCUUGGGUACAACUUUCAUCGUCUUCCUGAUUUGCUGCUGGAGAAGAUGAAGAACAAGUGAGUCGUGUGUAAGAAGGAGCUGACAGCUCACCUGCAAGGACGACACUUUAGUGCAUGAGAUUUGUGACAGCUGCUGCAACGUCAUGCAAGACUAUUCCUUAUUUCAGCUGUAUGAAGAUGCCAGAUCAGCAGGGUAAUCGUGUGUCUUCACUUGCCUGGCACAGCCCAGGAGGUACUUCUGUUCCUGUGGGACACAGGAAGAAAGUAGCUCAGAGAACGUGAAAUGGCCUGUCCCACCUUGCCUGUGAGUGGCAGAAUCAGGAUCGGAACCCAGGGAUUUCUGGAUCUUUCCAGAGGGGUUGGCAGCUGUGCGGCCACGGGUACACGGGACAUUCUCCACCGACAACCCACAGUCCCCUCCCUGCAUGUCUCAGCAGCUCUCCCGUCCCCCACCCACUGCCCUCUUCUCCACCUGUUCAUUUCCAAGCCACCCUGCGAAGCCUGUUGCAGACGUCCUGUUUACAUACGAUGUCCCAAUCUCAAGGUUGCUAGUAUUUUCUAUUUCCCCAGUCCUGUAUGAAUCUUUUGCAAGAUACAUAACCUUUUUUUUUUUUUUUUGCUAAGAGAAGUGUUUUCCUUAUUUUUUAUUUUCCCUGAUAUCAGAAAAUAAGUAUAUAAUAUAGUAAUAUAUUUUCCAUAAAAUUUUUCAUAAAAUGUUCCUAUCGAGUUCUAGGGGUCAAAGGAUGGGACACAGACAGCCCUUCAACUUGGCUGGUGUGAGAAUUAGCCUUUCAUCCACCUCCCUCGCCACACAUUGAGUCUCUGGGCAGUGGCCAGUGUUUGGCUAUCUUUGUGCCCCAGCACCAGCUCAGGAACUCUCAGUAAAUGCACCUGGCAUAUAAA